UUGCUUGCUUGUGAUUGGAGGAGGCAUGAUGUCACGUGCUCCCAUAGACCAAUGAGGAGGUGGUCCGGAGGCUGGGUUCAGCUGUAGCCUCAGCGUGGGAAAAAGGUAGAAAAGUUAUCCGGGCAUGAUGACGCCUGUAGUACCAGCUACUUGGGAUCCUGAGAACGAGAAAAAUCUCCUGAACCAGGGAGUCGGAAGCUGCAGUGAGCCGAGAGCACGCCACUGCACUCCAGCCUGAGUGACAAGAGCGAGACUCUGUCUUAAAAAAUAAAACUGAGCUUUGGAAAUUCUU